AGUGAACGCUGGCGGUGGGCCUAACACAUGCAAGUCGAACGGCAGCACAGUAAGAGCUUGCUCUUACGGGUGGCGAGUGGCGGACGGGUGAGGAAUACAUCGGAAUCUACUUUUUCGUGGGGGAUAACGUAGGGAAACUUACGCUAAUACCGCAUACGACCUACGGGUGAAAGCAGGGGAUCUUCGGACCUUGCGCGAUUGAAUGAGCCGAUGUCGGAUUAGCUAGUUGGCGGGGUAAAGGCCCACCAAGGCGACGAUCCGUAGCUAGUCUGAGAGGAUGAUCAGCAACACUGGAACUGAGACACGGUCCAGACUCCUACGGGAGGCAGCAGUGGGGAAUAUUGGACAAUGGGCGCAAGCCUGAUCCAGCCAUACCGCGUGGGUGAAGAAGGCCUUCGGGUUGUAAAGCCCUUUUGUUGGGAAAGAAAAGCAGCAGGUUAAUACCCCGCUGUUCUGACGGUACCCAAAGAAUAAGCACCGGCUAACUUCGUG
rnacentral:rRNA from 1 species